ensembl:lncRNA
CACAUUCAUCCAUAACCCCCAGGAGCGGGGGCAGGGCUGGGGGCCAGGGGCUCCCCUAACUGCAGAGGCUAGCCUUACACACCCAGCAACACAUGUCUCCCUUUAUGGCCUGGGCUUUCUCUCGCUGCUUAAAGGCAACUGUGAAAAGAGCAGGGCUGAUUCUGGCUGCCUGGCUGUCUCCUGGCAACAGGCCUGGCAGGAGGACGUCAGUCGCCUCACUGAGUGCCAGAGCCUUCCAAGAGAGCCACUGGGCACUGCCCAGCUGUACCAGUGCCUCCUGGGCCUCAACCCAGUACCCCUCACUUAGAAGGACAAGCUGAAGACUGGGGCAGCCCUAGUCAGAGGCCUGCAGCCAGCUCUGGCUGUGUCUUGGUCUGCUCUGAAAAGGGACAGGGACACAAAGGGUGGGGCCACAGGGAUCACAGGGAGGCAGAACAUCCAAUCGCUGUGUGUGGGAACCAGAAGGACUCUUCAUUUGGCCAAUUUAAUCUAGGGGAACAUUGAGACCCAGAGAGGGGCCUUUGAACUUGCCAUCUUCCUGCCUCAGCCUCCCAAAUGUUGGGAUUACAGGCAUGCACCACCAUACUUGGCAGAGUUUGUACCCUUCACUGGAGGGAAACAAGAAGCCUCUGGCAGCCCUAGAGCACAAGGGUGACCCAGAGACUGGCUCAGCCUCUCUGGACAACUGGGAGACAGUUAAGCUUCCUUUCCUACCAUGAGCAUCAUCGUGGUCACAGAGGCUCAGGAACUGAGGUGCUGUCAUCCAACACACUUGUAAUGAGUGUUCCCAAAUCGCCUACCUGAUACUUCAAGAUACAGGACAGGAAUGGUAGGGGCAGAGAAUCUCAGUUCAUGACCAGGGUGAUUCCAGAUGCAACCCUGGGAACUCCCAUUUCUGCCAGCUCCAGGGCCCCUGGCCAACCAAGAAGAUGCCCUGGUGGCACAGGCUGGCACAUGUAGGAAACUCAGCCCUGUUGUCCCACCAUCCAGGGUCUUCAGAUCCCAGGAAGGGAUCUUAGUAAGGGCUGGAGAGGCGUUGAAGUCCAAACAGGUUUUCUCCUUGACAAUACUCAGAAAGAGAGAAGAGGAAAAGAAUAGGGAAUGUGAAUAAUGAGCCUUCUCACUGUGUGUGUGGAUUCAGUCACCGAACACUGUGCUUUGCCUUGUGAGGCACCCGUGGUCUUCUCCAGCUACUGGAAAACAUCAUUAGCCAGAGAAUUGUUCGUUAAAUUAUAUCAUUUGGCAAAACUAUAUUUCAGACUUUCUGAAAUUGAAAGAAAAAAUAAAGUAAAAGAAAAAUA